ACCAGGCAUGGUGGUGAGUGCUUGUAGUCCCAGUUACUCGGGAGGCUGAGGUGGGAGGAUCACUUGAGCCCAGGAGUUCUGGGCUGAAGUGUGCUAUGCUGAUCAGGUGUCUGCACUAAGUUCAGCAUCAAUAUAGGGACCUUCCGGGAGCAGGGGACCACCAGGGUUGCCUAAGGUGGGGUGAAGCGGCCCAGGUCAGAAAUGGAGCAGGUCAAAACUCCCAUGCUGAUCAGUAGUGGGAUUGAUCCUGUGAAUAGCCACUGCACACCAGCCUGGGCAACACACGAAGACCCCAUCUCUU
ensembl:misc_RNA Metazoa_SRP Metazoan signal recognition particle RNA